rnacentral:rRNA from 1 species
CCUGGCUCAGGACGAACGCUGGCGGCGUGCCUAACACAUGCAAGUCGAACGGGGUAGCCCUUCGGGACUACUUAGUGGCGAACGGGUGAGUAACGCGUGAGGAACCUGCCUCUCAGUGGGGGACAACAGUUAGAAAUGACUGCUAAUACCGCAUAACAUAUCUCGGGGGCAUCCCUGGGAUAUCAAAGCUUUAUGUGCUGAAAGAUGGCCUCGCGUCUGAUUAGAUAGUUGGUGGGGUAACGGCCUACCAAGUCAACGAUCAGUAGCCGGUCUGAGAGGAUGAACGGCCACAUUGGGACUGAGAUACGGCCCAGACUCCUACGGGAGGCAGCAGUGGGGAAUAUUGGGCAAUGGGGGAAACCCUGACCCAGCAACGCCGCGUGAAGGAAGAAGGCUUUCGGGUUGUAAACUUCUUUAGCAGGGACGAAGAACGUGACGGUACCUGGAGAAAAGCAACGGCUAACUACGUG